rnacentral:tRNA from 2 species
CGAAUUAGAGCUUGGUAAAGUAUUUCAUUUACAUUGAAAAGAAAUUAAAAUUUAAUUAAUUUGG